rnacentral:lncRNA from 1 species
GAGCACAAGAUCAUCAGGAGGCAGAUAAGGAAGGAGAAUUGGUUCACCAACACCCUGAUGUGAAAAGUGACAAACCCUAACGUAGCACAUCAAUGAAAUUCAAAAUUAGGUUAUGGGUUGUCAAGAGUAUCAAAGCAAAUAGAGCUCUUACAGUUGGUGACAAAGGAAAUUUCCGAGAUGUUGUUGGUGUCAUGAAGGAAGGAGGAACACCAACAUAAAAUUUCAACACCUACUGAUGGGUCUUUGGGCUUUACCGGGUCAAGCUAAUGACGUUAAAAGAGCGCUUGCUGGGAGGCAACCCAAUUUCUGAAUUUUUUAUCUUCAAUUUCGUUUUGAUUUUAUUUUAUUUUAUUUUAUUUUAUUUUAUUUUUAUUUUUAUUUUCUUUUAUUUGAUUUCUUUAUUUUUAUUUUAUUUUAUUUUAUUUUUAUUUUUCUUUUUUUGGGUUAUGCGUUGCUUCUGAUGGCAGUGAUGAUAGUAUCUAUUGAUGGAUGCUUCUACAACAUCUACUGAUGGAUGUUAGAUGAUAUGGCAUCUACUGAUGGAUGCCAGUGAAGAUCAGAAAGAUUAGCAUUUACUGAUGAAUGCUACCGGGAUAACAUCUACUCGGGGAUGUUAGAAGAUAUAGGUAUCCACUGAAAAUGUUUGACUGACUGAUGUGCAUGAUGGAGCUAUUUGAUGAUUAUUUGAUAUGGAUGAGAAUUGAGUUGUAAUGCAUGUUGAUAUCUAGGAAAUAGAUGUGUAAUGAAUUUAUGAUUGUGGUCAUGAUGCUAGGCAGGGUGUAUGAAUGAAUUUUGUGUGAGAAAGCAUGUGUGUGAGAUUUUAAGCUCCAGAGUUUUUAUUGUUGUAUGCAUUGUUCACAGGAAAACAUGGAUGAUAUUGCCUUAAUCUUGAUAAUCGAUUGAAUUGCAUGUGAAUGUCAUAUGAUCAAGACAAUUUUUUUUGAAAACCCUUCUCUAGCCAACUUUUCACCCAAAGUGUUGGAAAUAUUAUACCCUUUUGAACCUUAGCCUUAAACAGGAUGUGAACCCUUGUUUUGAAAUUCUUUACCUUGAGUUGGGAUGAGCUUAAUUGUAUGUGAUGAAAAGGUUCAAGUUUGGGGUUAUACGGGGGAAAAUGGAAAAAGCAAGUAAAAGGCAUUGAGCUCAAUUGUUGUAAAAAGAAAAAUUCAAGAGAAAAAGAAAAGAAAAGAAGAAAAGCAUGAAGAUGAGCUCAAUGAAAAAGAAAAGAAAAGGGAAGAAGUUGGGAAUGAGAAAUUUUGGUGAGAGAGUUGUGCGUAAAUGUUGAAUAUUUUGUUAGCUCUCUUGACUCAAGGAUUUUGCAUUCUAGAAAAACAAGUUUUUCUUGUUAACCCAACCUCAUUACAAGCCUUGAAAAAGUCCUUUUGAUGGCAUUUGCAUGUAAAGAUGUUGAUUGUUUAAGAUGACUGACAAUUUUGUUUGAUGUAACUUGUGAACAAUAGAGAAUGGAGUGUCACCUUAAACACUUAAGGGAUUGAGU